GGAUGAAGAACGUAGCGAAAUGCGAUAAGUAAUGUGAAUUGCAGAAUUCCGUGAAUCAUCGAAUCUUUGAACGCACAUUGCGCCCCCUGGCAUUCCGGGGGGCAUGCCUGUCCGAGCGUCAUUUCUGCCCUCCAGCCCGGCUGGGUGUUGGGCGCUGUCCCCCCGGGGACACGCCCCAAAGGCAGUGGCGGCGCCGCGUCGGGUCCUCGAGCGUAUGGGGCUUUGUCACCCGCUCGGGACGGACUCGUCGGCGCUGGUCUUCCUCCAGGCGACCCUUCGGGGCUCGUCUUCCUUCGGUUGACCUCGGAUCAGGUAGGGUUACCCGCUGAACUUAAGCAUAUCAAUAAGCGGAGGAA
rnacentral:misc_RNA from 1 species